UACGGGGGGGGCAAGCGUUGUUCGGAAUUACUGGGCGUAAAGGGCUCGUAGGUGGCCAACUAAGUCAGACGUGAAAUCCCUCGGCUUAACCGGGGAACUGCGUCUGAUACUGGAUGGCUUGAGUUUGGGAGAGGGACGCGGAAUUCCAGGUGUAGCGGUGAAAUUCGUAGAUAUCGGGAGGAACACCAGUGGCGAAGGCGGCGAUCUGGGCAGAUACUGACGCUGAGGUGCGAAAGCGUGGGGAGCGAACAGG
rnacentral:rRNA from 1 species